rnacentral:lncRNA from 1 species
GAUGCCCUGCAAUGCCUCAGGACUCUCCAGAAUGUUUUCACCAGCAAAAAGGCCCUCAGCAGAUGCAGCCUCUCGACCUUGAACUUUCUAGCCUCCAAAAUGGACUAUCGGUACUGAAACCCAGCAAGCUGAAAUCAGCAAAACAAGAUGGUCUUGCUAACUUGAGGAAGCUGUAGCAGCUGGAAGCUCCAGAGAGGAGGGGGCUCAGAGUCUGCACAUCAAUGGGGAGACAUCAUUCUGGCUGCAUUAUGAAUGGAUGGUUUGGAGGAAGAAUGUGGAUAGCUAAACAAGAAGGAGAAUAGAAAGAAACUACUCUUAAGACUAUUGCAAUAUCCAGGUGCAAUGUGCUUUGUUUCUGACUGCAGACUAUAAUGUUUAUUCCUAUUGGGGGCAGAGCAAGAUUUCAGUUUCUUUUCUCAGCAACAAGAAAAUACUCUGUCUGAAAUCAAGCAACUUCUGGGAAGACCAAGAGUGAUGGAAACUAGAGUUACAAAGCAAAAACCCUACAUCCUGAAUGCCCAGCCCGGUCAAUGAAAUUUUUCUGUCUCAUUUAUCAGCUAACUUGGUCCUCUUCCCCUGGGAACAAAACUGAGAAGGGUUAAGAGAUAAUGUGGAAACAAACUCCCCAGCACUUGCCUAAGAGGGCAGCUGUGUACCCAGACCUUCUUUCCUCUAUGUCAUUGUACUAGAAAGAGAGAGUUCCAUACUCUUUAAUCUGAAUAGUUGGCACUCACUUAAAAAAGAAUGCAGCCUGAUUCCUCUCUGCCCCUCUAGCUAUUUCCAGAAAGUUGUUCAUGGGAUGAAUUGAAAGCCAACAAAGGGAGUUGUUAGUACAUAUUUCCAGGAAUGAAGUUGUCUGGAUGCAGCUAAUGCCUCCAUAGAACUGACAGUGCUGAAUUUACGAAAUGGAAAGAGUUCUGGAAAAGCAAGAAAAAAAGUCUUGUUUGAAACCCCACGUCUACUGUAGGCACAGAAGGGAAUGGAGGCAUCUGAGCAUUUUAUUUUCCAUCUCUACAGCACCUCAGAACACCUACAUUUUAUUUUUUUUCUUCUCAGAAAUGUCUUAAUAAGAGGACUGCAGUGUACUCAAGUUUCCCAAUGACAGGGUAGGGAUGCCAACCUUCUCUUUCAUUGGCAGCUCAUAGUAUCCAAGUUUCUCAAAACCCUAAGCCAUCUUAUUUGUUCUUUGGAACUUUGUGGCCUACCACAGUGCAAUUCUCAUUCGGUGUUUAAUAAAAUAUUUGUUAGCUCUUUUCUAAUUGAGAAGGUUCUGUUCUUUUCGCCUCAAGAAAUCACUUAGAAUACAAAUAGCAGUGCACAAUAAUUAGAUUUCAUUGAAUGUAAUUGAUUUGAAUGUUCAUGAAACAGUGCCUCCAGUAUGUUUUGUUUCACUUAAACUUUGAUGACACUUGAGAAGUUGCCUUGCCUUACCUAUCUGCCACCCCACCACUCCUCAGCAUCCGAUAGGCUGCUGUUCCUGUGCCAUCACUGUUGUUUGUCUGAAAGCCUUUUAAUUCGCUGUGGGUGAAGUUGAAUAGGAGUGCUCAGAUCUUCUAGCUCUACCACCUCACAUGUUAGUAGUUAAGGGAACCAUCUCCUUAGGUCAACAAUAAAGAAUAAUUAAAUUCAAUUUUUUUCCCUUGAUGAGAACCACUAAAAUGUCCUUUUGCAUCAGAGCCCUAGCACUACCCUUUUCUCCCAUUUCUUCUCAAGCAAUCUGAAAGCAAUCUUUAUUUAUAGUAAGAAAUGAAAGAGGAGAGUUUAACAAGCCAGAGUUGGGAAAGUUUGCUGAGGUCAAUGCCACUGAAGCAAUGUGCAUUUGCUCUUUGAAACAAAAAAUUUUAAUUUGAUAUUGAAAUAUGUUCAUAGAAUUCUUUGGCCACAUGUCUGAUUUGAUCGAGGUAGAGUAAAUGGGUUUGUAUUGUAUUCUAACUAGUAUCUUGAUAUAUCAAUGAAGCAAAUUAUGAGCCUGCCUCUCAGGCAGGUUGGACUCCAAAUUUCCUUUGUAUCUUUCUAUACUAUUCUCAUCCACUGGCACAAGCAUAACUCUCAAAAACUGUAGAGAAUUGCUUACCCAUGGCUACUGCCAACCUAUGGAAAAAUCCUCUGCGCUGUUUCAAAAUAUCCCAGCAACUUGCUGUCUGGAAACAAUUAGAGGCUGGUGAGGAGGAGUAUCUGCAGCCCUUCUUUUCAACACUCUCUCCCUUUAUCUCUUUUGAGUUAGAGGCAGUACAGUCCAUGAACACACGGAGGAAAAGAAGGUCCUUUGCAGAAAAACAAUAGGCCCAAGGCCCACUUUGUGAGAGUUUGGGGUGAAAAAGAAACUUCUCUGUCUACCCAACAUCAUCCUUAACCUUUUACAUGGAAAAUUUGUAAAAUGAGCACUGGGGACAAUUAUAAUUGAGAAACAUAAAAAUGGUGUCCCAGGAUGGCAAAGCUGAACAGAAGAACAGAUAGAGCAAGGUCUGGAAUGAAAAAACCAGCCUUGCUUUUCAUGCCUGAGUUUCCACCUGGUGAAGGAAAAUGGGUUGAUUGCAUCAACUAUUUUUUUUAAUUUUUAAUUUUUGUAGGUACAUAUUAGGUGGGAAUUCACUAAAUGUUUAUAUCAGUGAGCUACCUCCUCUCUGUGUCACUGCCUUGUUUCUCAAAUUAUGAUCAUGCAUCACCUGCAUUAGCAUUACCUGAGGAUCCUAAAAUAAUUGCAGCGAUCUAGGUGGAGGCCAGGGAUCUACAUAGUUAAUUAUCCUCAGAUGAUUUUGUUUUUACAAUGUGUAAGGUCUAAUGUAAGAGUGCCUGUGGUAGCAAAAAAAAAAAACCCUGAAGAGAGGUGUAUUAGUCCAUUCUCACACUGCUAUAACAAACUACCUGAGACUGGGCAAUUUAUGAAGAAAAUAGGUUUAAUUCAUCAAAAGCAAUUGCAACAAAAGCAAAAAUUGACAAAUGAGAUCGAAUUAAACUAAAGAGCUUCUCCACAGCGAAAGAAACUAUCAUCAGAGUGAAUAGACAACCUUCAGAAUGGGAGAAAAUUUUUGCAAUCUAUCCAUCUGACAAAGGCCUAAUAUUCAGAAUCUACAAGGAACUUAAACGGAUUUACAAGAAAAAAACAAACAACCUUAUCAAAAAGUGGGCAAAGGAUAUGAACAGAUACUUCUCAAAAGAAGACAUUUGUGUGGCCAACAAACUUAUGAAAAAAAGCUCAACAUCAUUGAUCAUUAGAGAAAUGCAAAUCAAAACCACAAUGUGAUACCAUCUCACACCAGUCAGAAAGGCGAUUAUUAAACAGUCAUGAAUCAAUAGAUGCUGGCGAGGCUGUGGAGAAAUAGAAACACUUUUACACUGUUGGUGGGAGUGUAAAUUAAUUCAACCAUUAUGUAAGACAGUGUGGUGAUUCCUCAAAGACCUAAAGACCUAAUACCAUUCCACCCAGCAAUCUUAUUACUGGGUAUAUACCCAAAGGAAUGUAAAUCAUUCUAUUAUAAAGAUACAUGCAUGUGUAUAUUUAUUGCAGCUAUAUUCACAAUAGCAAAUACAUGGAAUCAACUCAAAUGCCCAUCAGUGAUAGACUGGAUAAAGAAAAUGUGGUACAUAUACACCAUGGAAUACUAUGCAGCCAAAAAAAAUGAGAUCAUGUCUUUUUCAGGGACAUGGAUGAAGCCUGAAGCCAUUAUUCUCAGCAGACUAACACAGGAACAGAAAACCAAACAUUGCAUUUUCUCACUUAUAAAUGGGAGCUGAACAAUGAGAACACAUGGACACAGGGAGGGGAACAACACACACUGGGGGCUGUCAGGGGGGUAGAGGGAGGAAAAGCAUCACAAUAAAUAGCUAAUGCUUGUAGGGCUUAAUACCUAGGUGAUGGGUUGAUAGGUGCAGGAAACCACCAUGGCAAACAUUUACCUAUGCAUCUUGCAC